UUGUCGUGCCUGUACAGGAUCGGUGCUUCGAUAGUCGUGGGAAACUCGAGCGCUCCCCACCUCUCCCAUCAAGCAAAAUAUCUGCCGCUGUUACUCGCCAGUGCUUCGAUAUUCGUGGGAAACUCAAACCCCCAAUUUAAAAGACGUCACCACCCCUUUAACAGCGUCACAGCUGUAGCACUACACUCUCCUCCUAUUGGGUCGCAACACGUGGUCAAUGACAUUAAUGACAUUCUAAAUUUUUUUAGUUUGAAUGAACCAUCCCUUUUCCCCAGAUCAAACUGUAAUCAUCACCAUCUACAGGCCUACGUGCGAUGCCAUAUCUCCGUCGCCACUGUAGGUCCAGCCUAGCUAUGGUAGGAUGUAACGUUUCCUCCCCACUCAUCUCAGUAGCC
rnacentral:lncRNA from 1 species